GAUGAAGAACGUAGCGAAAUGCGAUAAGUAAUGUGAAUUGCAGAAUUCAGUUAAUCAUCGAAUCUUUGAACGCACAUUGCGCCCGCCAGUAUUCUGGCGGGCAUGCCUGUUCGAGCGUCAUUUCAACCAUCAAGCCCCCGGGCUUGUGUUGGGGACCUGCGGCUGCCGCAGGCCCUGAAAAGCAGUGGCGGGCUCGCUGUCACACCGAGCGUAGUAGAUUUUAUCUCGCUCUGGGCGUGCUGCGGGUUCCGGCCGUUAAACCACCCUUUUAACCCAAGGUUGACCUCGGAUCAGGUAGGAAGACCCGCUGAACUUAAGCAUAUCAAUAAGCGGAGGA
rnacentral:misc_RNA from 1 species